rnacentral:rRNA from 1 species
GGGUGAGUAACACGUGGAUAACCUACCUAUAAGACUGGGAUAACUUAGGGAAACCGGAGCUAAUACCGGAUAAUAUUUUGAACCGCAUGGUUCAAAAGUGAAAGACGGUCUUGCUGUCACUUAUAGAUGGAUCCGCGCUGCAUUAGCUAGUUGGUAAGGUAACGGCUUACCAAGGCAACGAUGCAUAGCCGACCUGAGAGGGUGAUCGGCCACACUGGAACUGAGACACGGUCCAG